GCCGUGAUCGUACAAUGGUCAGUACUCUGCGUUGUGGCCGCAGUGACCCAGGUUCCAAUCCAGGUCACGGCA